rnacentral:rRNA from 1 species
CAGUAGCCGCGGUAAUACAGAGGAUGCAAGCGUUAUCCGGAUUUAUUGGGUUUAAAGGGUGCGUAGGUGGCCUGUUAAGUCAGGGGUGAAAGACGGUAGCUUAACUAUCGCAGUGCCCUUGAUACUGAUGGGCUUGAAUGAACUAGAGGUAGGCGGAAUGUGACAAGUAGCGGUGAAAUGCAUAGAUAUGUCACAGAACACCAAUUGCGAAGGCAGCUUACUAUGGUUUUAUUGACACUGAGGCACGAAAGCGUGGGGAUCAAACAGGAUUAGAGACCCCAGUAGUCCCUGUCUCUUAUAC